rnacentral:lncRNA from 1 species
AAUUUCAAGUUUUAAAUUUAGCUAGGGACUACUAAUUAAUUUUCCCAAGAAUCUGGUUAGCCACUUGGCUCGGACCCGACGACGUAAUCCUUCAUCCAGGCUGGGUUCCGGGUGGCUCGAGUCGGUCUGCGAACUGCGGUCGGAUCCCCUGCUUCCGACGGAGCGACGAUUGCCUCCAAGUCCUUCCUUGCCGCUCGGUAGCCCAACGGAAUCACAUCAUCUCUCCCGCCUUCGAGAUUGAACUUGUCCUCAAGUUCGAUAGUUGGGAAGAAACGCCGGACGUCUUCGACCCAUUCCCACGAUGCGUCUUCAGGUAUGGUUCCACUCCAUCUUAUCAAUACCUGCUCCUUCUUUUGCUUUCCUCCUUGUAAUAUAAACCUGCGAUUUAAUAUAGCCAUAGGAUAAAUGACAGGUUGAUUCUCUACUGCAACUAUAGGCUCUGCCGCAUCAACAAUUUCAGGAAGAGGACCAUGGAAUUUCUUCAAUUUGCAGACAUGGAACGUGGGGUGGAUUCUGCUUCCGGCUGGUAAGUUUAACUGAUAUGCUACCUCAUUUAUUUUCUUAGAGAUUUGAUAUGGCCCAAAGUAUUUUUUCCCCAAUUUGUUAUGUAGUCUAUGUGCCACAGUUGCUUGCCUAUAGGGUGUUAAUCGCACCAACACCCAAUCUCCCACCUCAAAGGAUGACUCCGUUCUUCCUUUGUCUGCCUGAUGUUUCAUCCUGUUCUGUGCCAAUUCCAGAUUGUGCUUGAUCUUUUGUAAUGUUUCUUCUCGUAGCUUCAAAUUAGUGUUAACAGCAUCGACCUGUGAGUCUCCCUCAGUGUAGUGUGGAAUUUCAGAUGAUUCCUUCCCAUAGAGAGCCAAAAAUGGUGUCAUACCUAUAGAGGAGUGAUGGCUUGAGUUAUACCACAACUCUGACCAAGGUAAUAGCUUUAGCCAAUUUCUGGGGCAAUCAUGGCAAUAUGAUCUUAGGUACAUUUCCAGGAUCCUAUUUGUCACUUCUGUUUGUCCAUCCGAUUGUGGGUGGUAUGCUGAUGAGAAAUUCAGUUUGGUACCACUGAGCUUGUGUAAAUCCUUCCAGAAUUUAGAGGUAAAAACCUUGUCCCUGUCGGAGACAAUCGAGGUAGGUAUCCCAUGGAGUUUAAUAACAUCUCGCACGAAAACUUCAGCGACUUUAUGAGCAGUAAAAUCUGUUGGUAGGGCACUGAAAUGUGCGUAUUUGGAUAACCUAUCAACCACCACCAUUAUCACUGAUUUACCUUCUACCUUGGGUAAGCUGGUUAUAAAAUCCAUCGUGAUAUCUUGCCAAAUUUUAGAAGGAAUAGGAAGCGGCAUUAAAAGUCCUGCUGGCUUGGAAUUUGAUGGCUUCAUCUGUUGGCAUGUAACACAAUUUUUUACAUAUUCUUUGAUGGUAGAUCCCAUGUUUUGCCAAUAAAAUGUUUUUGCUAUCCUUUGUUUUGUCUUAAGUACUCCACCAUGACCUCCCAUUAAUGAAUCAUGACCUUCAAAAAGUAUUUUAGGGAUAAGGGUUGAAUUCUUAUUGACAAAGUACCUGUCCUUGUAGAAUAAGGUGCCAUUUCUGACCAUAUAACCUUCUGACCCUUGAGUUGCAGUAGAGUGUCUUUGAAGUAGAUCCCGAGAGUAAGGGUUAAUGUGGUUUUCAACCUUUAGUUCCUCUAACAAUGUUGGAAUAGGGCCAGUGAUAGAUAGUAAGGAACCAGGGCACCCCAAGGAGUUGCUGGUGAAUAUAAUUUCUUCUUCUCUAUCCUCCUCGAAGGACCUGGAAAGAGCAUCUGCCACGACAUUUUCCCUACCGGGUUUGUAGAUGAUACUAAAAUCGAACCCUAGAAGUUUACAAAGGAAUAUCUGUUGCUCCGGUGUUUGAAUUGAUUGAGAGAGGAGAUUUUUAAGACUCUUGUGAUCAGUCUUAAUUAUGAAGUGAGAUCCCAAUAAAUAGUGUCUCCACUUUCCUACUGCAGAAGUAAUAGCGAACAUCUCUUUCACAUAGAUUGAAGCUGAACUCAUUUUUCCCGAUAAUUUCCUGCUGAAAUAAGAGAUUGGAUGAUUUUCUUGUGAUAAUACAGCCCCUAUGCCACUCUGACAAGCAUCUGUUUCAACACUGAAUUGCUUUGUAAAAUCAGGAAAUCUUAAGACUGGUGCAGUUACCAUGGCCUGUUUUAAUUUUACAAAACUGUCAUAGGCUUUCUGUUCCCAUGUGAAGCAAUUUUUCUUCAACAAAUCAGUCAUUGGGGCUGCAAUUUGAGCAUAACCUCUUAUGAACCUCCUGUAAUAGCCCGUAAGGCCUAAAAAACCUCUCAGCCUUUUAAUGGUCUUAGGCACUUCCCAAUCCGUCAUAGCUUGAAUUUUGUCGGGAUCUGGAUGCACCCCAUCCUUUGCAACAAUGUGGCCCAAAAAGUUCAUAGAUUCUUUUCCAAAGGAGCAUUUUGAAAGCUUGGCCAGUAGCUUAUUUUUUCGAAGAACCUCAAAGACACAUUCAAGAUGACUGACAUGCUCUUCAGCUGAUGCACUGUACACUAGAAUGUCAUCAAAAAAUACUAUCACAAACUUCCUCAAGUGUUCCUCAAAAAUUGAGUUCAUCAAUGCUUGGAAUGUAGCAGGAGCAUUAGUAAGGCCAAAUGGCAUCACUAGAAACUCGAAGUGGCCAUGAUGGGUGCGAAAUGCCGUUUUUUCUGUAUGAGGGGGAUGAACUCUGAUCUGAUGAAAUCCAGAUCUCAGGUCAAGCUUGGAGUAGACUGCUGAUCCCUUUAACUCACCCAAUAAUUCAUCCACAGUUGGAAUGGGAUAUUUAUCUUUCACUGUUAAGGCAUUUAAUGCCCUAUAAUCCACGCAUAAUCUGUAUCCACCAUCUUUCUUCUUGACUAGUAGAGCUGGUGAAGAAUAGGGACUAUUGCUAUGUUUUAUAAUAUUCUGAUUUAGCAUCUCAGUAACCAGCUUCUCAAUCUCAGUUUUUUGGAACUGAGGGUAUCUGUAAGGUCGAACAUUUACUGUCUUAGAAUUGGGCUCAAGAUGGAUAAAAUGGUCAAUCUUUCUCUGAGGAGGUAACUCAGUAGGAGGUUCAAAGAUGUCACUGUAUUCCUGAAUUUUUGCUGUAAUUGCUGGGUUUGGUGACUCCAGGACAGUUAUUUCCUUGUUUUCAUUUUUCUCCAUAUAACACAAAUAUACCUCUUGAGAUGACGCAACCAAGCACUUGAGCUGCCCCACAGUUAAAGGAUCAUCGGAAAUCCAUGCCAGACCUUACCAGUUAACCUUGUUUCCCUUCCACAUAAAUUCCAUCACAAGUUUUUCAAAAUCAAAUGUAACUGGGCCCAAGGUUUUCAUGCCUUGAAUUCCUAUCACCAUAUUGGCUCCAGCCAUGUCUAGUAAAAAUAUAUCCAUCGUAAUAGGGGUAUCUUGUAUAAUUAUCUCAACUCCUUUGCAAAUUUCAAUACACAUAAGCUUCUCUCCGCUGCCUGUGGACACAUUAAAGGGGACAAUAAGUUCAAUUGUCAACUUCAAGGCUAUUGCAACAUCCUUUUGCAUGAAAUUAUGGGUUGAUCCUGUGUCCACCAAGACACUUACAGACUUAUUUGAAAUUAUGCCAUGCAAUCUUAUAGUAUUGGAGCUAAUAUGGCCCUCGAAGGCAUGAAGUGAAAUUUCUGUUGGGGCCCCUGUCACCAGUGUAGGCAAAUCCUCAAUAUUUUCAUCCACUGUCUCCUGGUCUUCUAUUUCUUCGAGACAACUUUCAUCUGCUGAUAGUCUAAACAAUUUACCCUGCCUGCCUUUACAAACUUGAUUAUGAUUAGGUAUGAAUUUCUCAUCACAGUUGAAGCACAAUCCCUUGGUCUUUUUUUCUGCUUUUUCAGCUGGAGAUAAUCGUUUAAAUCCUUUCGGUCCUUCAUUGGCAAUCUGUGGAACAGUAAUACCAGGCAAUGGAGCAACCUUAUUAGCAUGUGGUGGUUGUGGUGUAUCCCUGGCAUGAAAUGGCUUGUAAACAGCAGUUUUGUGGACACCUUUCUUUGCAUCAAUCAGAUUUGAUAUCUCCAUUGCUUCAUGUAUUGUAGAAGGUUUACUGAGUAUAACAUCUGUUUGCAAUUCUUCCUUUAAUCCUGAAAUGUACAUUUCAAGGAUAAAAUAUUCCGGAAGACCUAAGACUCUGGUGCACAUCUCCUCAAAUUUGCUUUGAUAGUCACUUAAGCUUCCCUCUUGUUUGAGCUUACUUAGUUUUCCACCAGGAAGUUGAUAGUGUAAGGUUGUGAAUUUUCUGACCACAGCAUCCACAAAAUUUUCCCAAGUAGUUAACAUGUUACUCGCUUCCAUCCAUGCAAACCACUUUUUUGCCACCCCAUCUAAAUGAAAUGACACAAUCAACAACUUCUGGUCCUCAGGAACUUUGUUAAAAAUAAAGUAUCUACGUACUGCAAAUAACCAGUGUUCAGCGUCUGAGCCAUCAAACCUUGGCAUAUUCACUUUAAUAUGCUUUGCUGGAACAUAAUUAGGAUCAUUUAAAAUAUUCAUAGCAUAACAUGGAUUAUCAAGGUUUACCACAGAUUUGCAAUAUUUCCCAGGUUGUUCAACUUCUGCUCUCCUUGUUGCAAUUGGUUGGGCAUUAAUUGGAUCUGGAGGUUCCUUCCUACUCAUGGUUGCACAUAGAUCUGAAAUUUGUUUGCUCAACUGCAGGAAAUUAUUGUUUACAGUUGCUCGAAACUCUCCCAUCUCCUGGAUUUGGGACAUUUGGAGACCUUGUAAGCGUAUGAAAUCUGGGUGGUUUGCCAAAUCGAUAUCUUGAGCUGCUGCAGGCAUCCUGUUCAUUUAGAGUCCAAGGAAAAUUUUGAAAGCACCAAAAUGUUAGGAAGUGAAUGAUAUGGCGGCGGUGAGGGUGGAUGAAGGGGCGACAGAAUGUUAGGGAGUGAAUUUGGGGGAAAUAAUUUCUGUAAUUUUUUUCAAUAUCUCAAAUGAUUGUCUUACAGCAUUAUAUAUAAAAUACUCGGAUGGGAAUUUAAAACAGUUCAGGGAUUACUAAUUAAAAUUUCAAGUUUUAAAUUUAGCUAGGGACUACUAAUUAAUUUUCCCAAGAAUCUGGUUAGCCACUUGGCUCGGACCCGACGACGUAAUCCUUCAUCCAGGCUGGGUUCCGGGUGGCUCGAGUCGGUCUGCGAACUGCGGUCGGAUCCCCUGCUUCCGACGGAGCGACGAUUGCCUCCAAGUCCUUCCUUGCCGCUCGGUAGCCCAACGGAAUCACAUCAUUAAGAUCAGGGUUGAAGGUCCUGACAAUCAAAUUAAAAAUAUUUUUAUUUAAUUUUUGAAAUGCUUUUAAAAUUAGGCCCCCCUGAUACCAUCGAUCACUU